UCAGCUCUGGAAAUGUCUUUGUACCGGUGACUGUUCCACAUCUCCAGCUUCUGCACUGCUACACCCUUGUUUUGGCCUCAAGACUGCUCAGAUCCUGCUACGAGGAAACAACAUCAGACAGUGGAGAGUUCCAGGCUUGUCCAUAAAUUGCAGAAACACAGCUCCUUCUGUGUUAGUGAAUCCAGGGACAAUUCAUGACACCCGUGGAGGGGCAAAUGCUUGCAGAAUCGUCAUGUGUGAGUUUUUUGGGUGACAGCUGCUGUUAACACAUGACGAAGCAAUGUUCUCACAGAGAACAGGUGACUGUGAGUUGGCAACACCAUGCAAUGAAACUCUCCCCAACCUCUACAAGGAGCCAUUUUAUAUAUUUUUCCUCAUCUCUGUUAGCCAUUUGGCCAGCAGGUGGAGCUGUUGCUCAGACAUGAAAGGUUUUUUGUUGUUGUUAGCAGAAGAAAAGGGAACUUAAUGAGUGUGCCAUAUGUCAAGUGGAGAGUCAGAUUAAAAACAAAUAAUUAAUCUGGAUCUCUUUUCUAUCAAAACAGAUUAAGAAAUGUUUGUGGAAAGGAACUGAAUCUGACAUAUCAUGUUUUGAUUGUGUUUUUUUGGGUUGAUCAGUCAAACUUAAGUAUCAGAUUUGGAGAUUGCAUUACUAUUCUUAUGGAAUAUAGGUUUCAACCGGCUGCUAAUUCAUGUGUCUAGAAAUGCCCCCUGAUGUAAAUACAUCAGGAUUUACAUACACAUAUGUGUGUGUAAGAGAAGCGCAUACAGGUCUGUCUCAUGUGGAAGGACAGGCGCACACUCACACUUUCCUACUUCUCUUUCCAUCAGCCUGGAAGUAAAGCUACUACUAGAGGAGGCUGUUCCACUCAUUUCUUGUCCGUGUCGUGUUCUACAGUGUGGCCUGCAGAACGGUUGGCAAGCGUAACUUCUGUUUUUUGGCAACUUGCCUUCUGCUAGAUAACAUGUGCCUGUGUUUUUAGAUCAGCGCAUUGGGAAAAGGGUGCCAAGCUAAUAAAUAACGAGUUGUCUGUUUCACUCCCAGUGGAUAAGAGUGAAAAUUUACCUUGGCCUGCUGGCUUUCUGUUUACCACCUUCUGACAUUGGAAUACUUUGGACCUGAGGGAAAUAUCCUAUUACCUUGCCACAAAGGAAGGGAUCUGUCUGAGUGAUGCAAUGGAUGUUUUCUGCUAGGUUGCAGAGAUGGUUGAUCGAAAAGGGAAGCCUUAAAAAUUAAAACAUUUCUUGAACAUUAUGGAAUAAAAUCCCGUUUCUGUUCAAACCUACCGCUUAGUUUUUAUGUGGACAUCUAUUGAAACAGGACUUCACCACAUUCCUAAAAGAGAAAAAUGUAAAGAUAAGUUAUUGUCAUUGAAAUAAUGAGCCUGGACAACUUUUCUGUGAUCUGAGUGGGGUUAGUCUCCUUUUUAUUUGAGUACUACUUAAAAAGGAAAAGGAAAAAAGAAACCAUAGAAACAGAGGAAGCUGCCUUACAGUUUCCUGACUCAGACCAUUAGUCCCUCUAGCUCAGCAUUGUUGACACUGACUGGCAGUACCUCUCCAGUUUUUAAGGCAGAACUUUUUCCAGCCCUACCUGGAGAUGUCAGGGAUCAAACCUGGGGCCUUCUGCAUGCAAAGCAUGUGUUCUACCACUGAGCUAUGCCCCCUUCCAAAUCAAACAUAAGACUAAGUGCUUUGUACACAAGGCUGUUAAUCAGCUGUUAAUCCAUUGCAUCAAAAUUUAGUUUCAGCACCAAAUUGAGAUCUGAGCACUACACUGCUUUUCCACUAUGUAACCUCUAGGUGGCACUGUGGUACAGUAGAAUCAAAAUCAAAGACACAAGAUAAAAUCACACUUUCUUUUGUUUUCACAACUGAAUGCAGCAAUUGAAUAAAAACACAAUUGUAUUUGUGUUUUUAGACUGUUGGUUGUUUUAUUAUGGUUUUAAUUUUUGUGAACCGCCCAGAGAGCUUCUGCUAUUGGGUGGUAUAAAAAUGUAAUAAAUAAAUAAAUAAAUGCCGAAACCAGAGGCAUAGUCUAUAGAACCUGUAAACAACUGUGAGUAAGGAAU